rnacentral:tRNA from 1 species
GGAUAUAUAGCUCAGGGGUUGAGCACAAGCUUAGCGUGCAUGAGGUCCUGAGUUCAAUCCCUAGUACUUCCA